AAUCAUUUGCCCUAUAAUUGAGGGCUAGUAUGAAUGGUUUGACAUGAGCAUAGCUGUCUCCUUAAAAUUUUAUAAAAUUUGGUUUUUAGGUGAAGAAACCUAAAUUAAAUUGAAAGACAAGAAGACCCUAUCGAGCUUUAGAAUAGUUAAUUAAAAAAUAUAAAUAAAAUAAUUAAUUUUAAUUAAAAACUUUGGUUGGGGCGACUGAGGAACACACAAAGCUUCCUUAAUUAAACAAUGCUAAUAAGCGAUGAUCCAGAUAAAUCUGAUUAAAAAAAUUAGUUACCGUAGGGAUAACAGCAUAAUCUUUUUCAAGAGCUCUUAUCGAAAAAAAGGUUUGU
rnacentral:rRNA from 1 species